AUACUUAGUACGGCGAGUGAGCGGUAAAAGCUCAAAUUUGAAAUCUGGUACUUUCAGUGCCCGAGUUGUAAUUUGUAGAAUUUGUCUUUGAUUAGGUCCUUGUCUAUGUUCCUUGGAACAGGACGUCAUAGAGGGUGAGAAUCCCGUUUGGCGAGGAUACCUUUUCUCUGUAAGACUUUUUCGAAGAGUCGAGUUGUUUGGGAAUGCAGCUCAAAGUGGGUGGUAAAUUCCAUCUAAAGCUAAAUAUUGGCGAGAGACCGAUAGCGAACAAGUACAGUGAUGGAAAGAUGAAAAGAACUUUGAAAAGAGAGUGAAAAAGUACGUGAAAUUGUUGAAAGGGAAGGGCAUUUGAUCAGACAUGGUGUUUUUUGCAUGCACUCGCCUCUCGUGGGCUUGGGCCUCUCAAAAAUUUCACUGGGCCAACAUCAAUUCUGGCAGUAGGAUAAAUCAUUAAGAAUGUAGCUACCUCGGUAGUGUUAUAGCUUAUUGGAAUACUGCUAGCUGGGAUUGAGGACUGCGCUUCGGCAAGGAUGUUGGCAUAAUGGUUAAAUGCCGCCCGUCUUGAA
rnacentral:rRNA from 1 species